GACGAACGCUGGCGGCGUGUUUAAGACAUGCAAGUCGCACGGGAUAAGACAUGUAGUAAUACUUGUUUUAUUUAGUGGCGCACGGGUGAGUAACACGUGAAUUACAUGCCCUAUAGUGGGGAAUAGCCCAGGGAAACUUGGAUUAAUACCCCAUGGUAUCGAAAGAUUAAAGGUGGCCGCAAGGCUGUCGCUAUAGGAUUGGUUCGCGCCCUAUCAGCUUGUUGGUGAGGUAACGGCUCACCAAGGCAAUGACGGGUACCUGGUCUGAGAGGACGAUCAGGCACACUGGAACUGGGACACGGUCCAGACACCUACGGGUGGCAGCAGUCGAGAAUAAUUCACAAUGGGGGCAACCCUGAUGGUGCAACGCCGCGUGAAGGAUGACGGUCUUCGGAUUGUAAACUCCUGUCAUCUGGGAGAAAGACCUGACGGUAAAUAGCCGGCAGGGUUGAUAGUACCAGAAGAGGAAGGGACGGCUAACUUCGUGCCAGCCGCCGCCGUAA
rnacentral:rRNA from 1 species